CGCGAAGGCAAGCGGAUCUCUUAAAGCUGUUCUCAGUUCGGACUGCAGUCUGCAACUCGACUGCACGAAGCUGGAAUCGCUAGUAAUCGCGGAUCAGCACGCCGCGGUGAAUACGUUCCCGGGCCUUGUACACACCGCCCGUCACACCAUGGAAGUCUGCAAUGCCCGAAGCCGGUGGCCUAACCACUUAUGUGGAAGGAGCCGUCUAAGGCAGGGCGGAUGACUGGGGUGAAGUCGUAACAAGGUACC
rnacentral:rRNA from 1 species